AUGAGAGGGGAUCGAUCGGCCAUGAGGGUCACCCGAGGUAUGCACCUGGAGGCCGAGGUCGCCCGGGACGUGUGGCGCGCCGGCGAGGUGGUCUGGGGCAACGGACACUCGUACGUCCUGCGGUGGUUCGACGGCGGCCCAGACUCCGGGCGCAUCCCGAGGGCGGGCGUCCGGCCGCUCCCGGAUCCAGCCGUCAAGCUGCCGGCGGACCUCGCCGCCGGCGACGACGUUGAUGUGUUCCACAGCAACCUGUGGAAGCGCGCCAAGGUCGUGGGCGCCGCCGGCCACGGUCAGUUCGAGGUCAAGAUCGCCGACUCGACCGAGGUCGUUGAGGCCGACCUGAGCGUGCUACGGCCCUGUAUGGUGUAUGGCGGAGGGGAGAAAGGCUGGGCUGUGAUCCAGAAGGGUGACAAAAUCCCCGUCGCAAGCGCCCAGCCAUGGCGCCCCGUCGCUGGCAAGAACAUCAAAAGCAAAGCCAAUAUCAAUGGAGGCGGCAAGUUCGCCGCGCAUGCCACCAAUCUCAAUCUGGGCGGCAAGACGAAGCGGAGCAACUACGCGGUGGACGCCGACAUUGUCCAGGACGUCAAGAGAUUUCAGGGCAACGUCUUCUUGGCCAAGAGAGAACCCGCAGCAAGGUACGGUGACAGCAACAUAGAGGUGAUGGAUGUACACCCAAGCCAUUACCUCAAGAAACGGGAGCAGGAGACCAGCAACAAACCCAACGAUGAAGAAAUUGAUGUGGUCGGAGGAGGAACGGACAGCGACAGCGACGAUGAUUCCAACAGUAGCAAGUCUGAUCCAUCGUCAUCUGCUGACAGCAGUGACGGAGACAGCAGCAGCAGCAGUGGCGGAAGCAACAGCAACGGCGGCCGCGCAGUUCCUGUCACCGGCGAGCAUUGCCAAGAAAAUCAAGAAGCUGCGACUCCAAGCUGCGAGGAAGAAGAGGAGCAAGAUUCCGAGGAGAGGACAGAGUCCCAUGCCAGCGCGGGAAUGCACCACCGCCUGGCCGAUGAGGAACAGGUGGUGAUGGUGAAGCAAGAUCAGCAGGUAGAGGAGCAUGAUCACCGCGUCCAUGGCCUGGAGCUGGAGGCCUACGUGAGCGUCAUGAAGGCCUUCUACUUCACGGGGCCGCUGACCUGGGCCAAGGAGGAGCUGCUGUCCGACCUCCGCCUGCAGCUCCACGUCUCCAGCGACGAGCACCUGCGAGCGAUAUGGCGUCUCAAGGGGAAGAAGUAA
rnacentral:rRNA from 1 species